CUGAGAAUGAAGGACAAACACCAACAGGCCCAUGGAAGGUUGAGAAAGCUGUUGUUGAGAGUAGGAGUGGAGUUCAUUGCUGAAAAUACUUUGUAGAAUAUACAGGCUGCAGCACAAGUGAUGGUAACUAAGGCUGGUGACAUGAACAUUUGAGUCAGAAGAGUUUCUUGCUUUUAGGGUCCAGGGAUUGCAUAGAAUGUAUAGUCCAAACCUAUGUUACAUAUGAUUUUCAUGUCAAACUAUAAAUGACUUUUAUUACCUUCCCAACCGCACCUUACAAAAAAUUUCACAAAUGAAAACAUCAAAUGCUCAUAGAAGCCAAUGCAUCUACUUUAUGGAGACAAAAAUUCAGGAAAAAUUGAACAGAAGUGCUUGCUGCAUUUCGUCCCAGUUCCCAUGGGGCCAUCUCCAGUCGUCUUGAUCCAUAUCUUGCCACUGGACCCCAAUGGCUCCAGAGGAG